GUUGGGCGUUUUUUUAACGGGUCAUUGGUAGCAAGUGAAAUGAUCUGUCAGUGGGAGUAUUUUUCAUCAAUAUUAAUGAAUUAUUGACUUAAAACAGACUACUAUGUCUAGCUGAAAAGCUAAUUUGUGGUGCGAUUUCUUUCUUUUCCAACAGUUUGUAAAAGUUUGGGAUGACUCAAAAGUGUCCAGAGGUGUUACAUGAGCGCACAGCUAUGUCGUUAAACCCCAUUACUUCUGACCUGAGGAGGGAAGUUGGGAUUAUCUCAAUGCUAUUGUCUUACAUUUGGAGAAGAGCCGAGGGUUUAAUCAAAUCGCGGAGCAAUCAAUGCAGCGGCUCCAGCGGACACUUCCCGCUGCCCUUGGAACCCAAGGAGUAUUCAGAGUCGACACCAGCGGCUAAAAGAGUCGCUUCGGAUACAUCAUCACGGAGAAUGAGAUUAACCUCCCCUCCCCCGCCCACCGGGAUAUCUAAUGUCACCGAGCUUAUCUUCUAAGCGCUCAAUCAACCUCCAAGAGUCUGGAAAAAAACACACCACCACCUCGCGGCCAUUUUGUUUCUCUUUCAACUCCCACGACAUGGUGGCGACUCGUGUUUGUUCGCUUUUCAACUUUUCAUGGAGACGAUCCAGAGAGCCAACCUGCUGUGCUGGUGGGAGUGUUUCUGUGG